UACGUAGGGGGCAAGCGUUGUCCGGAAUCAUUGGGCGUAAAGCGCGCGUAGGCGGCCCUGUAAGUCCGUUGUGAAAGUCAAAGGCUCAACCUUUGAAAGCCGAUGGAUACUGCAGGGCUAGAGUCCGGAAGAGGCGAGUGGAAUUCCUGGUGUAGCGGUGAAAUGCGUAGAUAUCUGGAGGAACACCGGUGGCGAAGGCGGCGUCCUGGACCAACACUGACACUGAUGAGCGAAAGCCAGGGGAGCAAACGGG
rnacentral:rRNA from 1 species